AAAAAAAACACACCCCUGUUUUAGUUACAAAGUGCCGUAAGUUACCAAAAAGUAUACAGAUCAUUUGACCAUUAUAAGAAACAACUAUAUUAAGUUUCAUGAAAUUUUGAUAAGUCGUUCUCAAGUUACAGUGCGACAUUUUUACGCCGGACAGACAGACGGACGGACACCGGACAUUUGUAUACCAUAAUACGUCCCGUCAAAAUUUUGACGGGCGUAUAAAAACUGCAAAACGUCCUUGAAAUAAUCAAUUCAGGGA
rnacentral:lncRNA from 1 species